rnacentral:rRNA from 1 species
UACGGGGGGGGCAAGCGUUGUUCGGAAUUACUGGGCGUAAAGGGCUCGUAGGCGGCCAACUAAGUCAGACGUGAAAUCCCUCAGCUUAACUGGGGAACUGCGUCCGAUACUGGAUGGCUUGAGUUUGGGAGAGGGAUGCGGAAUUCCAGGUGUAGCGGUGAAAUGCGUAGAUAUCUGGAGGAACACCGGUGGCGAAGGCGGCAUCCUGGACCAACACUGACACUGAGGAGCGAAAGCCAGGGGAGCAGACGGG